CCUCGGCAUCAGCGUGCUCCGGG
rnacentral:siRNA from 1 species